UAAUACGGAGGGUGCAAGCGUUGUUCGGAAUUAUUGGGCGUAAAGAGCGUGUAGGCGGCUUGGCAAGUCGGGUGUGAAAGCCCGGGGCCCAACCCCGGAAUUGCACUCGAAACUGCCUCGCUAGAGUCCCGGAGAGGAAGGCGGAAUUCUCGGUGUAGGGGUGAAAUCCGUAGAUAUCGGGAGGAACACCAGUGGCGAAGGCGGCCUUCUGGACGGUGACUGACGCUGAGACGCGAAAGCGUGGGGAGCAAACAGGAUUAGAUACCCUGGUAGUCCACGCCGUAAACGUUGGGUGCUAGGUGUCGCGGGUAUUGACCCCUGCGGUGCCGUCGCUAACGCAUUAAGUGCUCCGCCUGGGGACUACGGUCGCAAGACUA
rnacentral:rRNA from 1 species